GCCCUGAAAACCCUGGGUUCCCUUCCUGCCUUCUAAGCAGGUUGUCGCAGGUUCGAUUCCUGCAGGGGUCGCCA
rnacentral:tRNA from 1 species